rnacentral:piRNA from 1 species
UGAGCUGAACUGAUGAUCCUAUGUAUU